UCCAGUCUCUCCAGCACUUUUGUUUGCUUGUGUAUCAGUCAGACUGGGUUGAAUAGUGUUCCACCAAAUUAUAUCCACUUGGAACCUCAGGAUGUGCGCUCAGGUGGAAAUCGUUAGAUGUAAUCAGUUAGGAUCUGGAGAUCGGGGUUUAGAGUCGCUGGGAACCUGGUCCCUGGUUGCUUAUUGCUUCACUGUCCGUUGAAACUUGUUAGUGCCAAAGCCUACCAGUGCCAGACUCAAAUUUGUGCACACUCAGCAAUUUAAAACUAACAUGAACGUGCAGGUUUUUAGCCAUUGAGAGAUUGCCUACUUUUCAGACUGCACAGAACCUGACAGCUGUUACCCAUAGAUAAGACAGGUCCCAAGAUGCCGUGGUCCUUGGCGUUCUCUGAUCCAGAGCCCCCUCACCAGACUGCCGAGUCACCUCACCUAGACACGUAACCCUCUCUGAGCACCCAGGCCCUCCUGGCCACCCCAGGACAGGCUGGUGCUGUGAGGGACGCCCUGGCCUGCAAACCUGUCACGGUGUUGUCUUGUCUAAAUAACCUCACGUGAGCUGCCACCACUGUGUGGCCAUGGCUCCUUCCUGGAUCUGCCCCGAGAUGCCUGGACCCUUCACAGGCACAGACAGAGGCGGGGCCUGGGGUGGCCGGUCUGGCUCCCAGAAGCUGGAGGGAGGAAGGAGCCUCAGCCCAGGCAGCGCCUUGGUCUCCAUUCUGCUGUUGAGUUUUGGCAAUAGGGGAACACAGUUCUGUGGUUCUGAGCUGUUCGUAUGUGGUGAUUCAUCACGCAGCCCAGGGAUACCCACACACACGACCUUGCUCUCCACCCGUGCUGAGUCUCUGAUGUGCCCAGAGUUGUGGGGCUGGCGGCUGGCACGUUUUCACUGUAUUUAUAAGCACAAACAGGCCCCUGUUAGCAGGAAGCCGGGUACCUGUCCUGGGCCACAGAGCCUCGGCAGGGAGGCUGACUUGUCUCCCUCACACCAGAGACUGCCCCAAACGGAGCAUCCGUGCCUUGAUUCCUUCAGCAGAUGCGCACUGAGUGCCCCAUGCGUGCCCUGCACCGUGCUGGGCGUCAGAAGAGACCCCUGUCCUUUCUGGACAGUAACACGUGUACAAAACACAUCGACCUUGAGGGAGGCUGGAGGGGAGGUGGCCAGCCGACCAUAGGGCAGCUGAACAGAGAUACAGAAGGCUGUGCUGGAAGAAACAGGACACACGUGACAGGCGUGGAGGAGAAAACCGCGUCCGGCAUCCCAGGGCCACACGGCCUCUCCUGUCAAUGCUGUUAUUUACUCAGUGAUGGAUGGCCACCCUCCUCAGCCACUCCGCCAAGCCAAGCGGAAGAGUGCUGUCACGUGUGCUCCGUGUUCAGAAGGGAAGGCAGGAGCUGCCCGGCGGGACAUAACAAUUCAGGGGUUGGGGAAGGACCCCGAGACCAGCAGACAGGGUCCAUCACUCUGGCUGAUGAAACACUGGGGUGAAUAAUGAGAACCCCGAGGGGGUCAUGCAAGGCCACCUAAGGAACCAUUACAGAAUUCCUGGCAGUUUAUUUCCUGUCAUGGAUGUUUGCACAGACGGCUCUGGUACAACACCAUCAGGGUGUCAGAUAGUGGGAGUCACACAGGAUGAACCCUCUUUAGAUCGGCGCCCCUCGCUUAGUCAUACGCUGUCAAGUUUCCUCCGUGUGUUUUCAUGGCUUGUUAGCUCGUUUCUUUUUAUGGCCGAAUACUGUUCCACCGCCUGGAUGGACCAAGUUUGUUUAUCCAGCACCUACUGAAGGACAUCUUCGAUGCCUCCAAGUUUUGGCGAUUGUGAAUAAAACCACUAUACACAUCUGUGGGCAGGGUUUUGUACCAACACAGCUUUCAACUCAUUUGAGUAAACGUCAAGGGGCAUGGUGGCCGGGUCAUGUGGCGAGGGUACGUUUAGUCCUGUAGGAACCCACCAGACCGUCCUCCCGAGUGGCUGCCCCUGUCUGUGUGCCCGCCUGCCAUGCGUGAGAGACGCUGUGGCUCGACGUCCUCGCCAGCAUGUGCUGGUGUCGGGGGCCUGGGUUUGGGCCCUUCUAACAGGUGAGCAGUGUUGUCUCCUUGUCUGGAUUUGCACUUCCAGGUAACUGUUUUUUUUAAAUGUUAAUUUAUUUAUUUUGAGAGAACAUGAGUGGGGAGGGGCAGAGAGAGAGAGGGAGAGAGGGAAUCCCGGGCAGGCUCUGCACUGACAGCAUGGGGCCUGACGUGGGACUCAAACUCACAAGCCGUGGGCUGAAAUCAAGAGUCAGAUGCUUAACCGACUGAACCACCCAGGUGCCCCAGUCACUAAUUUUUGACUGUACAGUUUACUUUUGUGGGCUCUUAGCUGGCUGGGAAACUCUAACCACAGAUCACGUCUUUGUUUUUCUAUUUCUAAAGGACAGGAUACAGGGAGAGCAUGGGGUUCAUAGUCUUCUCCAGCUUUUUAUUUUCUCAGCCUCAGAAGAGUUUAUGAAAGUGAUUUUCUAGAGCCAGUAGAUGUGGCUUCUUGUAAGAUGGUUUUGGCCAGGAUCAGAUUUUAUCAGACCCACAGACCGAGAUAUCCUAGAGGGAAAACAAAAUGGGCAAUAAUUCCAUACAAUGAGGUUCCUUUACUAACGGAUAUUUAGACUGUACUACAUUCACUUCCUCCCCUAUAGUAAACAAUGUAGUUUUCACUUGAGGGAAUGAAGUUUUGGGUUGCUUCUGGGAAGUUCAGGACUCUGUACUCACAGGGCGAUCAACAGUCACCAUCACUUUGAAGGUACUGAGCAAUGAACUUGAUUAAAAACAAAAUGGUGCCACUGCCUAAAUAGUGUGUGGUUGAUCUCAGCCUCGUCUUGACUAUUCAAUCUUACUUUCACUUACAGACCCCCCCGCCCCCGCACCCCUGCACAGCCAUCACUGGGCAUGUGCUGAAGGUGAUCCCUGCGCUGCAUGAGGCAUGAUUAGUGGACCAGGGUUCAUCCCUGGGACAGGGAUUCUGCGAGGCUGGUCAGUUAGACUCUCGGGGGUGGUCAUGGGGGGCGAUAAAUUUAGCUGCAAGAAGCGGUGAUGCUCUUUGGCUUGUUUCUGGCUUAGAUUUAGAAUUUGAGAAGUUUUGUGAAAUGUACCAGGACCAAUGCCUGCCAUGCCAACCGCAGGGAUUUCAGUCAGAUUGCACGUUACUCUUUGUUGCUAAGUGUUGGCAUUCAUGGUUUCGGGUCUGGAAACUGAAGUCUUCAGUUCCAGUCUCCAGGCAGCCCACGGCCCAGUGGUCAGCCUAGAUUUGGGGCCGUUGGGGAGGGUUUUGUCUGUGGUGGAGUCCGCCCUCCUCCUGUCUCACAUGGUGCCCUCAGGGCGCUCCCGCUUUGAGUAAGACGUUGCUCGUCCUUCCACUGCUUCCUUCUGCAGAUUUGGACUUGCUCCUGCCUGUCUGAUUUCAGAUGCUUCGUUCUGCUUGGGAUUUCCAGCUGUGGCUCCUUCUGUCCUCUGCACAGUGGUUUAAUUUCUGUCGGUUUUUGUUCUCGUCUUAACUCCGUGUGUUCCCGUGAUCAGCUUGCACCCUUACUUCUCCGUGUUAGCCUGCUUCUUAAUCCUUGCUUCCAGAGAGCCCGCCGUGAUUUCUCGCUGCCUCAUUCAUGCCGCACCUGCUUACUGCGGCUGGCUCGGGGACAAGUAUGAUCCAGGGACGGGGUGCACACAGAGACUAGAAUGACUGCCGGUUUCUACAGUGCCCCGCGAGGAGACACGUUCCUGGAUGCUAAGACUCCCCACUUCUAUGAGAGUGGCCUCAAUGGGGUGUUGUCUGCAUCAGAUGUUAAACACUUCUGAUAAACUACAGACGCCUAAGAACCAGUGUGGAAAGAAAGGCCUUCUUGUCUGUGUGUAAGGAUCUGCUGCCUAAGUUAAAUUAUGAACCUAGCUAGCAGGUGCCACUGAAGCCCACUGUGUGCCCGGCCUGCUGGGAACAGGGCUAACCUGGUGCCGGGCUGAUGGGACUUCUCCGCCAGGCUGGGGACCCCUCUCCUGGCAGCUCCUGGUGGCCCCUCUUGGUGGACAGGAGGGAGGGGCAGGGCUCUCUCUGGGUCCAGCCCCUGCCCUCCUCAGGAAGUCAGGGAAGGAGGAGACACAACUAUAAAGAGGAGAAAGACCUUUUAGUCACUUGAAUUAAAAGGGAUUGAGGUUCAUGGUUGAAUGUUGAACUAUAUGAAUCUGGCCGUAGUUGACUUCUGAGCUUGGUAAUGUCACAUACUUGAACCUAAUCCCUUAGACAAGUGCUCUGAAGUAGAUGUGGGUUUUAGUUACUCAGGCGAGGUCUACACCAGUCCUCCAACAGUGUAGACUUGCCGGGAAGGCCUGCAAAGGAAGGCAAGUGCCCUGUGGCGGUGGAGGCCGGACGAAGGGUGACCACGGGCCAAAAGAUCUGCACUAAGUCUGUGCUUUGCCGUUACCCACCCGUGUCCGUGGGCAGGUGUGGCCGCCUGUCCAGUGCCUUCCGUAAAGAGAGGAAGGGGGAGGCUCGAGGGUGGAGAGGGGGCAGACCGCACACUGGCCUGGAGCUGCCUGCCACCAGCCUGUCCAGCUCCAACUUGGCUCUGGCCGAGCUCUGGCGUUUCUGGUGUGCAGUUUGGCCUGGGGCGGCCACACGGAGCUGCCUGGGCCAGAGUCCCCGGGGCCUUGGUCAUGAGCGCAGUCUGUGCGCAUUGUUGGCAUGCCUCCUUUUGCACACUGAGACACCAGGCCCGGUGCCCCGGGGCGGCCCUGCAGGGACGGCUGUGUGCCUGUACCUGGCGUUGGGCCAGAGGCACAGGGGCUGCUGGUGGGGGCUGGGCUCACAAGGGCGCCCCGAGGAGCCUCUGUGAUUCGCUCACCCCCAGGUGUCCCUCCAAGGUCCUUGUAGCUCUUUCGUCUGCAGGAAUGUGUGUGAGGCUGGCCCUGCACAAUAGCAGGUGCCCGGCAAGGAUGCAUCCGCGCUGGCCCCGCCCUGCCCCGGGGACUGUCCCCUCCCUGCCAAGACGGAAGCCAAGUUAAAUGAAUUUCUUUCUGGAGCCAAUGGGCCGGAUCUUAAGCCUUCCUGAGAACUGAAGUGUAAUUUAAGAAACUGGAAGAAAUUAUUGAGUUGGUGUCCUAAUCCCCCGAGAGUCUCCUUGCGCACUCCACUGAGCAGCCUAAUCCCCGCUGGUGCCUCGACCCCGGUGGAAUCCUUAAUUACCAGAAUCUCAUUUCCGCUUCGUGGGCUACCUGAGUAGCAUCUGUCGCUCAAAUAAACUCAUGUGAAAAUAAAGUAUUAAAAUCAAUAAUUCAACUCGGGGGUGAAAUGGAACAGAAAACUAACUGCAGCCUGCAUGCCAGAUUCCUGGGUGGCCCUCGCGAAGCUCUGACCUCUGCUCUCUGCGUCUUCCGCAGGGGUGGCGGUGUGCGUUUUGGCAUCUGCACUGUCUGGAAACAGGGACAGCCGCCUUCUUACAGGACCGGGCCCAGUCCCCGGGAGAGGCGCUGGCCACUGUCCCCUGUGGGUCAGGGGUCACCUCUAGGAGGGGCCACGCAGGUCCAGGAACUUCUCUUAUCUGUUUCCAUCCUGAUGACAUCUGAACUGGUCUGAAAGGCCACCUUCUCUGGGAUGUCUCUCCGGAUUACCCUGAGUACCCGUCUCUGUAGGCUCAUGAAAAGCACCAAGGGUUAUCAGUUGCUUGUCAUUUUGUGUAGUGCUGUGAUAGGCACGUGACUGCCUCUCCGAGUCAUCCCAGAGGAAAGGACACGGCUGGUGUGUGGCCUCCCAGACUUGCGUGGCCCCUUCUUAUCUGCGAGGGAGUGAUCUGACCUGCACACACCAGGGAACAUCUGUGUGCAGGAGGCCGGUCUGUUUCUGCCCCACCUGGGUUUGUGUGUGUGGGGGGCAGGGAACACAGUGAGGUGCCCUGGGCCCCAUCAAGUCGGGACCCACGCUCACCAGGCAGUGACCAGACGGUGUCACUCAUGAGGGCUUAUCCCCAAAGUGUGGGGGGAGGUCGCAGAAACAGGCAUCCCCAUACCCAGCAGGGGGACCCCACCCCAGCAGGGACGGUCACGGUUUUAGUGACUGCUUUCUGGGAAGGAAGGCCAGCUGUGGAUGGCUGGUGCCAGGUUUCCCUCCCUCCAGGAAGGAGGCGAAGCUGGGCAGCGGGGAGCGAGGAGGCCUCAGCUACACAGGCCAAAGGCAUUGUGCAAAUCUUGUGCAGCAACGUAUGGUCAUGUCACUUCCUUUCUGAGUCUGCAGAAGUCCCCAAAUGCCCGUGGCUACCCUGCCGACCUCCACCCCAUCUCUCUCCAGCCAGCACAGGCCACUGGGGGCCACAGCACUGGUCUUUGGCUAACUGGUAAGGUUUCUGGAGUCCUCAGGUCUGGAAAGCAGUCAUUUGGAAUGUUCCACGGGUGAUUCAGCAUCGACUGACGAAGGGGGAGACGGUCUGUGAAGCCCAAACAUGUGGUCGUGAGGGGCUGGGACGCUGGUGAUUUGGGGUUCCCGCUGUCGCCAGCCUGACGCUCUAGAGUCUCACCUGCCCCCUCCCCCACUUUGUACCCGGUGCAGCUGUGGUCAUUACAGGAACCACACCCAGACCAUCCGCACCUGCCUGUCCACACAGCCGGAAAUCUGAACACGCUCCAAGCAGCCGAGGUUCUCACUGAUGCCCCCCUUCCAGCCACAGCACCCCCCCACCCCCACACCACCUCAGUUCACAGGAGGAGAAAUCCCAGACGGAACACAGCUUGCAAGAUGUCACCUCACCUCCCAGGUUCCCCCAGCUGGGCCCAAUGGGUGACGGGCUCACGUCUUAGCCCAGCUGCACUGCCGAGCCCUUCCUGCCUCGUCCCCCUGCACCGCCCCCAGGGCCCCUUCCCCAGGCUGCCCACACCCUCCCUCCAUCUCCCUCCACCAGCCUGUGGUUAGCAGGGCCGUGAACGCCAGCACGCUGUGUGCAGAGUACAGAUCCUCCUGGUAUCUGAGGUCUCUGGGACGCAGGGUCUGUCUACACCCGCUGAGACAGGCCUCCCUACAAGGCAUUUCCAUCAGCACGCAAACAGAAAUGGGAAACAAUGGGAAUUUCUCCCAGAUAACGGAAAGGGUCAGCGUUUCUCCAGGAGCAACCACACCACCAAGCCUUGGGUGGCUCUGUGCUGGGCUGCUUUGCUGUCGUGGGGACCAGCGUAAACUUGAUGGGCCUCUUUUGCUCCUUGGUUAUUUCACUGUUGGUACAACAUUUUCUAGACUAGAGUUCAUCCCACUUCAGGGGGAGAGGGGAAAGGAAUGUCUGCCCCAGAAAGACUUGGGGUGGGGCUCGCGCCGGCUCCUUGGCCGUGCUGUUACUCCAGGCGCCACAGCCACGCUCACCAUGAGAAAGGGGGGGCAUUGGAGUCCUCCUCCCCACCUCCCUGCCUCGGCGGCCGCAGGUGCAACCCUCUGCUGAGGAGGUCUGGGGCGGGCGGGGGCUCGACAGCAGGGUCCAUGGGCACCGGCUAAGCAGCAGGCGUGGGGGUAUGAGGAAAGUCUGCCCAGCCCGCUCGCCGCUUCCUCAGGUUUGCUGACUGCUGCUCAGGGCGCACGCCUGGGUGAGCGCCAAGCCCUCGCUGCCUUGUUGGCAUGGCUCCAGCUCUUGAGCCCCCCCCCCCCCCCCCCCGGCCAGCCAUGCAUCAUGGAAUAUUGAUACGGUUCCUCCAGACUUCUGCACCUGACAUUUGAUUUAUAGCUUUAGGUGUUCUUUUUAAUUCUAAACACUCGAUAGAGGAUCAAAGGAAAUGUCAUAUUUGCAGCGUUUAAGCCCAGAGUGACACCUCGGCAGCCAGAAGGGGGGGGCCGCCCGAGGUGGCUUUUGCCAGCGGCCUCUUCCCUGCCUACCAUCCUGGGGUUCAGAGUGCCCCGUGCUUAGGCUGACACCCCUCCUCUGUGCCCCCAACACUUCAAAUAUUUAUCACAUUAUAUAGCAACCUCCAGAAUAUUGCCUUCAUUUAAGCUUUUCACGUCCCAAUGAUUUUUUAUUAUUUCCAUCGACCAAAAUAAAUGAAGAAAUGUUUUAGACUACACUUGAAAGCAUGUAAAAAUCAAUAACUGGAUUUUAAAAGAUUUAAAAUGUCUUGAAUACAUUCAUUUUCAAACAUUUUCCUCUGAUCUUUAAAUAGCUUUUCUUGGAGCAUAACAUUUUUUUGAAAAGUCAAAUAUGGAGCAUUAAGGGUAUAAUUACCAUUUUAAUUAUAACUCAAUCAUCCUAUCUGCUUUGCAUAGAAAUUAAAGCUUUUAUGUCAGGAUUUGGGGCACUCACAAAUGUUCAGGAGCAAUUAAUGUUAAAAGUUUAAUUUUUUUCACAACCAGGAUGAACUUUAGAGUUCCUAAUUUUGUUCUUGCUCAGAGUGGAAAGCGUGGAUGCUCCCCCUUGUCACUUGUCGCUGAAGUAAAUCCCUUCCCACUGGUGACUUGGUUUGGUGUCCAAGGAAGCACAAUGGCAGAGUUGCAGCUCUGCCCCUGGACAUGGGGCCCGGCUGGAGUGACAGCCCCUCAUCUGUGGGACUGUGCGUGUGCAAGCUGCGGGAGGCCUGGGGGUCCAUGGCCUGUGCUCACCUUAGGCUUGCAGGAGCCCCUCUCUGCUGUAGGAUCUAGAAUAGUCCCUGCCACUCAGGGGUGUGACUUUGCCUUCUGCCCCCAAACGGUAGCACCUUUCAAUCCUGUAGGUUCAAGAGGCAGGGACUGUUUUUAUGACAUAGCAAACCAGUACCCAGCCUGAUGACGCUUGGGCUUAUGGGAAGUAACACUGGCUGCAGACCCACUGGAGUUCAUGGCACUUAGCCCUGAAAAAGAAAUGUUAAAUGAUGGAUUUCCCAUCGUUUUGCUGCAAAUGACUGAUGUGCUCCACUGCUGGCUCCUGGGGCCCAGGCUGCAGGUGUUUGAGUACACAUGUGCACAUGUGCAGAUACGUGCACGUGUGUACCCGCG